AUUGAACGCUGGCGGCAUGCUUUACACAUGCAAGUCGAACGGUAACAGGCCGCAAGGUGCUGACGAGUGGCGAACGGGUGAGUAAUGCAUCGGAACGUGCCCAGUCGUGGGGGAUAACGCAGCGAAAGUUGCGCUAAUACCGCAUACGAUCUAUGGAUGAAAGCGGGGGACCGUAAGGCCUCGCGCGAUUGGAGCGGCCGAUGUCAGAUUAGGUAGUUGGUGGGGUAAAGGCUCGCCAAGCCGACGAUCUGUAGCUGGUCUGAGAGGGCGACCAGCCAAACUGGGACUGAGACACGGCCCAGACUCCUACGGGAGGCAGCAGUGGGGAAGUUUGGACAAUGGGCGCAAGCCUGAUCCAGCAAUGCCGCGUGCAGGAUGAAGGCCUUCGGGUUGUAAACUGCUUUUGUACGGAACGAAAAGCCCUGGGUUAAUACCCUGGGGUCAUGACGGUACCGUAGGAAUAAGCACCGGCUAACUACGUGCCAGCCGCCGCCGUAACAC
rnacentral:rRNA from 1 species